AGCUCCAGUAGCGUAUAUUAAAGUUGUUGCAGUUAAAAAGCUCGUAGUUGGAUUUCUGGUACGCUGCGCCUGAGCCGCCAGCUUUAAGCUGUGUGUGUCUCGGAGCGCGGUUGCCAUCCUUCUAGAAAACGUUUCUACCCUUCGCUGGGCCGGAUCCGCAAUCUAGAUCUUUUACUUUGAAAAAAUUAGAGUGUUUAAAGCAGGCUUAUGCUAUGAAUACAUUAGCAUGGAAUAAUAAUAUAGGACUUUGGUUCUAUUUUGUUGGUUUCUAGAACUAAAGUAAUGAUUGAUAGGGAUAGUUGGGGGUGCUAGUAUUCAGCGGCCAGAGGUGAAAUUCUUGGAUUCGCUGAAGACUAACUUAUGCGAAAGCAUUCACCAAGGAUGUCUUCUUUAAUCAAGA
rnacentral:rRNA from 1 species